AUGCGAGGACGGCCUCGCGCUUUCCAGCAUUGGGGACGGCCCC
rnacentral:ncRNA from 1 species